AGCCACUCACGCCGUUCGUGUGGGGCCCGAAACCGGAACUUGCGUCGUCUGUUGCAGGCGCUGACGAUCUCCUAUCAUUCCUCUCCUCAUCCGCCGCAGUCACUGCCGCACACACCUAGCUCUCUUGUUUUCUGUUUUGGUUCCUUACCCCUUGUGAGGUCUACUGGUGUGUGCGCGCCAUCUUGCCUCUUUCUACCACUUACGCUCCCCAUCUAUCUACUGUUAGUACCAAAAUGGAAGGGAAGAACUGCUUCCGCACGCGAUGGACGCAGGAGCCUAUCUUCAGCGGCGGCGCGUUGGCCUCUCUUGCGCUUCCAGUGUCAGACCCCGCUGCGUCGUCCGCACUUUCCACGUCGGCCGCUCCGGAGGAAUGCCUCGUCAUGGCGUGCGGCGACACCGUGAACGUCGUGCGUGCAACAAGUGGAGAGGUGCUGUGCAGGUACACGUUGCCAGUAGAGGAUGUGAUUCUCCACAUUGACGCCGUGACGGUACCCAAGGCGUCGGAUGACGGCGGCAAAGACGCCACAAGUGGAGAUGAGGGAGAGGCGCGGGCGAAGCGCGACGCCAGCGCUGCGGAAAAGUCGGCCACGACGAAGAAGGCUCCCAAGAAGAAGGCCGGAGCCGGCAAGACAGUCAAGCCGAUCGAGGAGGACGAAGAGAACGCUGGCCAAGCGGAGAAGAAGGUGGCCGUGCCGUCCGUGGCGGCGUCCUCAAGCGACGCGGCUGCCUCUCAAGGCGACAGGGAGCUUGCUGCACCGGCUGGCAGCUACGUUGCGGUUGGCACGCGCUCUCUGCAGGUCUACGUGUUGCGCGUUGACGCCCGCGUCGAGUCGCCGGCCUCGCCCUCGCCCUCUCCUUCAGCGGAGAAGGGUGUCGCUGCCGACGCCGCUUCUGAGAAAGGCAACGCUGCAGGGGCGGAAGGCGAUGAUGCGGAUGUAGUCGGCGCGGCAACAGCUAGCGGCACCCUUGUGCAGUACUCGAUCGAGCUGCAGCGAAACUGGACGGCGGCGCAGCAUGCCAUCUCGGUCGUGCACUUUUCCCAGAGUGGCACCUACCUCGUCUCGGGUGCCACGGAUGGCAGCGUGAAGGUGUGGAACGUUUUUCACCAUCACCUCACGCACAACUUGGUGUGUGCCCACAGCUCCCUCGUGCAGAGCGUCUGCCUCGACCCCAGCGAGGCCUACCUCGCCGUCGGCUCCUUCGAGGGACACGUCACCGUCUUCGACUUUGUGGCAAAGCGGAUAGUGGCGGCAGGGCGCCCGCACGUGCAGGCGGUCGAGUCCAUGAUCUUCAAUGACGCGCUCACACACGUCUACUCGAUCGCCAGGGAUCGCCGUCUCGCUCUCAACAAGAUGAUGUUCAGCGAGAACCGCAAAUCGACGGAGCUGAAGGAGGUGCGCGCGAUUGCAGUGAAAGAGCACGUGUCGAGCGCCGCCUUCGAGAGCGCCGGGCUACUUCACGUUGGCGCCAUGGACGGCGUGGUCAGCACCUACCGCGUGAGCGAGGACGAGGCGGUACAGCUUGUGCGCCGGCUUCCAAAGCCGCCGUCCGCGGACGCCGAGGACGGCGCCGAGGAAGCGUUUGUGCGCUCUCUGCUUGUGGCCGGCGUGCCAAAGGGCACGAACAUGCGCCGCCUGCGCGACUCUGUGGUGCAGGACGCGCCGCACGCGCCGGACACCUCCUCCUUGUACGUUGGCGACGCAGGAUUCAGCAUUCAGCACCUGUGCCCCUCGUCGGCGGAGUGCAGCCAGUACGAGGUGACUCGCACGGUUGUCGGCUUUCUCGAUCAGCUGCUCGACGUGAAGCUGUUUCCUGAGGCCUCGCCGCUGCACCGGGCUGUGGUAACCAACAGCAAGGAUGUGCGCCUGUACGCCUCGGAUGGUUGCGUCUCCUCGAAGACUCUGCGCGGCCACAGUGACGUGGUGCUCUGCUGCGCCGUGAGCAGUAACGGGGCGUGGAUCGCCACCGGGGCCAAGGACAAGGAGGUGCGCGUGUGGUCGACCGAGAGCUGCGAGACGGUCGUGCGCGGUGUUGGCGGGCACACAGCGGAGGUGACAUCGCUCUCUUUCAACGGGAGGCAGACGGACACCUACCUGCUGCUCUUCUCUGUUUCCAGCGACGAGAAUGUGCGCAUGUGGGACAUCGGCGUGCCUCUGGCGGAGCGUGUGUCGGCAAAGCAGCCGCGGUCCCGCGUGGAGGAGAUACAGCACCGAAGCGGCGUGAACGCGGCCCACACGGGCCCUAUCUACACCGUGGCUGUUGCGCCCAACGACCAGUACGUCGCGACUGGCGGCAAGGAUAAGUCGGUGAAUGUGUGGAACAUCACAGGCAAGAAGAUGUACCGCGAGGCCUCCUUGAAGGGGCAUCGGCGUGGCAUCUCAUCCCUUGCCUUCUCGCCGGUCGAUCGCGUUCUGGCAUCGGCCUCGAAUGACGGAUCAGUGAGGCUGUGGUCGCUUGUGUCGCUGACGUGCCUGAAGUCGAUGCAGGUGGACCGCACCUCAGUACUGCAGGUGGGCUUCUUCAACAACGGCACGCAGAUUGUCACGAGCAACGCGGAGGGCGUGCUGCGUGUGUGGGCCAUCGCGUCCUCGGAGUCGGUCUGGGCGGCGGAGGCGCACACGGAGAAGAUAUGGGCCUUGGCGGUCGAGGAGCGCCCCUCCUCGGGCGAGACAAUCUUCUACUCCGGUGCCGCCGACGGCGUGUUGAUCGCGACCGAGGACUACACCGCUGAGGAGGUGGCCCGCGUCAAGGAAGACCGGCACCAGAUGAUCCUGCAAGAGCAGGCGCUCUCCAACGCCCUUCGCAAGGGCGAGUUCUCAGAGGCGUUUAUGCUGGCCCUGCGACUGAGUCACCCGCGUCAUCUCCGCCAAGUGCUCGUGCGCUGGUGCGCCAAGGACGCACGCCAGUGCGAGAACACGCUUCGCGGCGAGCUUCUGCCCGCCCUUGAUGCGGAGCAGAUGACGCGGCUGCUGCAGUACACGCGAGAGUGGAUCACGAACAGCCGUCAUUGCACGGUGGCUACUCUGGUGCUCUACGUGCUUAUCUCCUCACGCCACUUUGAGGCUGUCGCACAGGUGCCGUCAAUGGCGUCGCUGAUCGAGCCGCUGCUGGCUUACACGCGCAAGCACAGCCAGCGCCAGCACGACCUGCUCCGGCGCACGUACUACAUCGACUACGUCAUCCGCGGUCUUGCCCCGAACGUGCUGACCUCGCUUCCGCCAUUCGUGCAUCACGGUGAAGGGCGGAGGGAGGAGCCGCCGCUGGCAAAGCGCAUGCGCGUCGAGUGAGUGCUGUGCUUCCUCUGCUGAGGUGUUGAUGAGCACGCCAACGGAUAACUAAUCGAGGUUUGUGGCUGUGUAACGCGCCGGCCUUGCACUUUUUCUUUUAUAUCCUCCUCGCCUCGCCUCCCCCCCCUCUCCCCUUUCUCUUUCUCUUCCUGUGCGUGUGUGUGGGUGUGCGCGUCUGUCUGUCGUGCUGGUGGAGUGGUAGGACAAGCACACCGAAGCAUGUUUCUGUGCGCUUGCGUCGUGUAUACGGAGACGCAGACAGACAGACGGACGGAGAAAGCGGAAUGGAAGGGCCGCGGUAUCUUCCGAGGAGCGCAUAACCAUUGGACGGCCAAGGGCGCACAUCAUCGUUAAACGAAC
rnacentral:misc_RNA from 1 species